AUUUCAAACAGACUUGAUACGUUAUAUGUUUCUCUAGAAAAUUAUAUUUUGGUUGAUGUUGAGAUGCAGUUGCAUGUUAUAAGCCUAUUCGAAACACUUUGCGAUUUACAAGGCUUCGCUGAGAGAGCGAAACAGAAGACGGUAUUAAAUUGCCGUUUGAAACGAAACGACCUGAACUCUGAACGCUCUCUUCUUUUGUAGAGUUCUUUACCAAAUGAAAUAACUGAAAUAAAUUUCGUACUUUCCGCCGCCAACAAGAAUUGCACACACGAUCUGAUAUAAAGUGAGACAAUUUAUUUAUAACAAUGGCGACAGCGAAGCACACAUAUAAAAUGCUAAUGUGGUCGCACGACUUCCCUCACGAUUUGAAGUUUGAGACUGGUUUUCUGUUGAAAUUCGUCCUAAUUUGCCUGUUCCGAU